rnacentral:rRNA from 1 species
GACGAACCGUGCGAACGUUGUUCGGAAUCACUGGGCUUAAAGGGCGCGUAGGCGGGCUGCCAAGUCCGUAGGUGAAAUCCCCCGGCUCAACCGGGGAACGGCCUCGGAUACUGGCGGCCUGGAGGGGGGUAGGGGCGUGCGGAACUGUGCGUGGAGCGGUGAAAUGGGUUGAUAUGCACAGGAACUCCGGUGGCGAAGGCGGCGAGCUGGACCCUUUCUGACGCUGAGGCGCGAAAGCCAGGGGAGCGAACGGG